CCCGUAUGCAUGUAAGUGUAUGCAUGUAAGUACGGUUGGCCCAAAGACGAAUUCUUGCAAGAUUUGGGAAACAGAGUGAAACAGUAUCUAUUCCUCUCUCAAGGUCUUUGUAGUUUGCUGUGACAACACAUGCAGACACCUGGAGGGUUCUAGCAUGUCCUGGCCCUCCCCCACUUCACACCCAGAUCUUCCAAAUUUCCAGCACAGCUGAUCAACAGUAGCCACACACCCAUCACAAGGGCCUUAACAUGGAUCCAAAGAGGCAGUAGCCAGGCAAAGACAAAAGCUUUUCACCGAGUAUUCUUCCAGCUUUCUUUCAGGGUCCCCCUCCUGGAUGUGGCAGGCCUCCCAGAUUCCCCUGGAAGUUCUGACUUGCCCAUACACACAAGGACCUCAGGAAACCCAAUAGUGACUUUCCUCAGAUCUGUGAAUUCCUUCUUCUGGAAAAUAACCUUCUCAACAAUUGUCUCACAUGGAGUUCCAUCAGUGAGUCCCACCGGGUCUACCUAGAAGCUGUAUC
rnacentral:lncRNA from 1 species